rnacentral:misc_RNA from 1 species
CCAAUCUUCAGUGGGCCAGGACUCGUCCAUGGUCUCGCGAAAUCUUGUAUUUAAAACCUACUCUUAUAAUUAAAUUAAGAACAUGUAUAAUGAUAAAAAAUUUAAGA